AAUGACUAUAACAUUAUGAAAGACAUAUGCAUGGAUGAGGGUGUACCUCUCAUGGAUAAAAUUGUGACUGAAAGCAGGAAAUAUGAUCAGCCUGACUCGUCUAUUUCUCUAGCUGCUGACGAACAUCAGCCUAGAAUCACAAGGGAAGGUGUCGACAGUGAAUUGGUCUCAUCUGGUGAGUCCAAAGCUUCAUCAGUUGAA
rnacentral:misc_RNA from 1 species